rnacentral:rRNA from 1 species
UACGGAGGUUGCGAGCGUUACCCGGAUUUACUGGGUGUAAAGGGCGUGUAGGCGGUCUCUCAAGUCCGAUGCUAAAGACCGGAGCUCAACUUCGGGGGUGCGUUGGAUACUGUGAGGCUAGACGGUCGGAGGGGGUAGCGGAAUUUCCGGAGUAGCGGUGAAAUGCGCAGAUACCGGAAGGAACGCUGAUAGCGAAGGCAGCUACCUGGACGAUUGGUGACGCUGAGACGCGAAAGCGUGGGGAGCAAACCGG